rnacentral:misc_RNA from 1 species
UCACCAUCAUGUUGUUCAAUUGAUCGACAUUCAGACAUCGAACUGGUAUUGUCAACUGUGUCCAUGACAGCAGCACCACUUCCCUCUUUAGCACUGGACUUGCCAUUCCACGGCUUGCUUGAUUUACCAUCAUCACCUGAAUCUGACUUGCUAUUCAGUUGCUCCUUUGAAUUUCCGCUUGGAUCCAAACUAUUGUUAGGAACCCCAUCACUCGCUCCUGAUUUAGUGCCCGACUCACCACUGUUCAUGUUAGAAGCGCUUACACCAGUUGCAUUAUGAGUUACUGUCCUUG